UGGGGAAUAUUGCACAAUGGGCGAAAGCCUGAUGCAGCAACGCCGCGUGCGGGAUGACGGCCUUCGGGUUGUAAACCGCUUCCAGCAGGGACGAAGGUUUUCUGACGGUACCUGCAGAAGAAGCACCGGCUAACUACGUGCCAGCAGCCGCGGUGAUACGUAGGGUGCGAGCGUUGUCCGGAAUUAUUGGGCGUAAAGAGCUUGUAGGCGGUCCGUUGCGUCGGAAGUGAAAACUCAGGGCUUAACCCUGAGCCUGCUUUCGAUACGGGCGGACUUGAGGGAUGUAGGGGAGAACGGAAUUCCUGGUGGAGCGGUGGAAUGCGCAGAUAUCAGGAGGAACACCAGUGGCGAAGGCGGUUCUCUGGACAUUUCCUGACGCUGAGAAGCGAAAGCGUGGGGAGCAAACAGGCUUAGAUACCCUGGUAGUCCACGCCGUAAACGGUGGCACUAGGUGUGGGACCCAUUCCACGGGUUCCGUGCCGUAGCUAACGCAUUAAGUGCCCCGCCUGGGG
rnacentral:rRNA from 1 species